GCCAGCGACGACGGAGCUCUCAAUCACCUUGCACUCACCUCGCUAUUACCGUCUCAAACUCUCAAUUCCCAAUUUUAUACAAGCUCACACGAAUCGAAUCAAAACCUCUCACGAAUAUUAAGGAAAAGAUUAGAUCUCCAUACAGAGGAGGUUACGAUAUCAGAACCGAUAUGAUAGAAACAAGCUUGAUCGAAGGAUUCUUACCUACCUUCUAAGGCAACGAUGCAUAGAUGAAGGAGAUGAUGAGCGUGAACUCGAGCAUGAAGCUUCUUCUGAAUCUCUUUGUUCUCCUCUUCCUACUUUUGGCUCUACUGUUAUGUUUUCGUUGCUUCCAUUGAAUUCUCCGUCGGGUUUUCAAGUUAGUUGGAAGCGCUGCACUUCAAUGCAGACUACAUCGAGAGAUUUAGUUAUGUCGUGAUUGUUGCGGAACGAUUGGGGCGGUGCGAUGAUUCGUUCGUGGAUUGAAUCACGGUGGAAACGGUGGUUGGUUGAAGGUCUUGAUUGUGGAGGUUUAGCAGGUUGAAGAAGAAGGAGGCGGAAGAGUUCGUUAUUCGCAGCAGUUUGGGAGGAGAGUUGUUACGGUUGUGGUGGUUCUCAGAGAAGGAGAAGCAGGAGAUUCUUGAGAGAAAAAAAACUCCUUUCAAUCGAUGUGAACCACUUUUCGUUUGGAUGGUGUAAAGCUUAAGUUGCAGCUCGCAUACAAACAAUGCGGUCGUUUUCGUUGGCUCGGCGUAUCAGCUCGUUUGCGUGAGUUUACCGUUGUGGCUUCAUUUUGGAUUGUUGUACUAGCUUACUGCAGUUGCGUU